CAGGCGCCUGCUGUCUGCUUUUUGUGCUGAGGUGCCAGCCUUCAUUCUGAGUACACCCGGGGGCAUCCGAACCCUAGAAAGCUUCCUUCCCCAGACAAGGGAGCUCUCGCCACACCCAGCAGAGCUUUUUGGAGAAAGUCCAGUUUGGACAGGCUGAUGAGCAGCACCCUACUCACCAAGUCCUGGGAGGGACAACACAGGUGUCCCCAGGCACUGAUCAGAGGCUCUGCUGACUUCUUGGAAUGAGGAAAUACAGGCUGGCCUUUAAGAACUGGGACAGCGGCCACUGCAUAGGCCAAAGCCUGGACUCAUGCAAGUCUUGCCCUUCAACCUAGAAAAUGAGAUUUGACCCAGGUUUGCCCUACAGGUCCCAUGUAACACACCCUGGAAGGGAGUUCUGGGGAUCCACCACCAACUUGCUCCCACAUUUCGAUCAGGGUAUCCUGAAAAGAAGAGGGGCUCAGUCUACCACUCUGAGAGACCUGAAGUCAUAAAAGUGGAUCAAGGGAGCCAGACACACAGGGAUGGGCUUGUUUAUCAUCCUGGAGACUACAGAGAAACUUAGAAGCACAAAGAGUCACUUUAGCAGGGGCCGUCAAGAGCCACCUCCAGCUAAUGUUCCAGUCCAGCACAAAGUCAGCCUUCCUUGCAGAUGGUCCUUCUGGAAGGGGUCAGAAAAAGUGAGGAAGAGGAGGAAAGAGAGGGGAAAGAGAUGGGGAAGGCCCCCUUUACAGUGUCUUCCCUGUAAGAUCUCACCAUUCUCCCCCAUCCUGACCUCAGUUUCUCCAGACACUUCUGUGGACAUUUCUGCACUCAUACACAAAUAUGCUCAUGUAUGGAAGGGGUUGGAUUGUCUUUGAAGCUUUCCAAGGGUGAAAAAACAAAAUGUUGCCAAUGCCUCUGUGUGAUGGUAAACACUCCUCUCAGCUCCUACUCUCCCCAAGCAGCCGCCCCAGCCCUAGAGCCCAACCGUGUUAAGUGCUCAAGUCUAUGGAGAGCUCAGAGUCUGCAAAAUUAGGCUGGAACAAACAACAAACAUAAACACAAAAAAACAGGCAGUGGCUAAGAUUAAAGCACAUGUUCUGGGAAUGGAGAUGUGGCUGAACCAUUAAGAGUGUGUACUGCUCUUACAGAGGACCUGUUUUGAGUUCUUAUAGUUGAUGGAGGGAGAUUUACAACCAACCUCUGGGGACUCUGAUGCCCUCCUAUGGCCUCUGAGGUAUGUAAAUCUUGUGCACAAUUUUUACCAUACACGCGCGCGCAAGCGCGCGUGCGCGCGCACACACACACACACACACACACACACACACACACACACACACCUACCUUAAAAUAACAAAUUAAAGUUCUUUAAAACUCU